rnacentral:rRNA from 1 species
UUUGAAUUAAGCUGUUGAUUUAAAUUUUAUUUGAAAAUCGAUAAUAAAAUUGAAAAGAAUUGGCGGUAUUUAAAAUUUUCUGAGAAGCUUGUUUAAGUAAGUAGAUAUUACACUUUAAUUUUCACCUUAGUUUAGUAGUUUAUGUAUUGCUGUUUAAUUUGUUGUUUAAUUUGUAUAAAUGAAAAUAAUAAAAUUAUAAAAAAUUCAAGUCAAAAUGUAGUUAUACUAAGGUUUAAAUGAGUUGCAGUUUUUAAGAAGAAGUUUAUAUUAUAAUGAAAAUUAUAGGGUAUGUUGGAUUAGAAAGUAAGUGAAGAGUCGUUUGUUUUAUUGAAUGUUGUUUUAGUAUGU